rnacentral:lncRNA from 1 species
UUAAGGUCCUUUCUGCAUUACUUUCUGCAUGGGAUGGAGCCUCUGAAAGCUGAUGCCUUUUAACUCCAGACUGUGUGAAUGGCAGCUCCUGGAAUUCUGCAGUGCACAACCUGUGUGGCCUAACAUGGCAGCCCUGAAUAGGAAGCACUUCUCUCUUCCCUUGUUGCUUCCAGGGAAUCUACGCUAAAGUGUCCUUAGGGCCUUGUGGAGAAGGACUUUGUGUUUUUGAGACAGGAUGCAUAUCAUUUGGGCAAAGUCUUCAGUGUAAAAGAUGUUAUCAAGGAGCAGAUUGCUGGCUUAUCAAGAAGAGGAAUGAAUGCUAGGGAAGUGGGAUAUAGAAGAUCAAAGAAGAAUUCUUUCUGAGAUGCCAACAGCACUAUCCCUACCAGUUCUAUAGGCUGUAUUCACUGAGAUGGCCAAACCAAAGAAGGAGAAAUCGUUGCUUCCUAGUGGCACUUAGGAGCAUCCAGCAGCACAUGACAUCUGCCUCUUCGCUUGAGAAGCCUCUAAGGUUGGAAAAUCUAUUCUGCUGUAGACUUUGGACACCUCCAUAUAUACCUACCUGUGUGAUAUUCCUUUAUGAAGAAAACAUAUUUCUAUUUAAUUCUUAGCUCAAUAUGAAAAUUUAUAAAAUAGAGUCAUAUAUUCAGGUCCCACAUUAAGCUAAUCUGAUAUUUGGACAUUUGGAUUUAAGAUAAAAUAGUGUUUUCAUUAUAAAAAUGUUCACCAACAGUUUACUUUAAAUAGUUACUCUUUCU